rnacentral:misc_RNA from 1 species
GAUGAAGAACGCAGUGAAAUGCGAUACUUGGUGUGAAUUGCAGAAUCCCGUGAACCAUCGAGUCUUUGAACGCAAGUUGCGCCCGAAGCCAUCAGGUUGAGGGCACGUCUGCCUGGGCGUCACAUAUCGUUGCCCAAUGCCUAUUGCAGUGCAAUAGGAAUUUCUAGGGCGAAUGAUGGCUUCCCGUGAGCGUUGUUGCCUCGCGGUUGGUUGAAAAUCGAGUCCUUGGUAGGGUGUGCCAUGGUAGAUGGUGGUCGAGUUAGAACGAUACCGAUCAUGUGCAUGCUCCCCAAAAUAUGGCCUCUAUGACCCACACGCGUCUUUUGACGCUCAUGACGAGACCUCAGGUCAGGCGGGGCUACCCGCUGAAUUUAAGCAUACCAAUAAGCGGAGGA